GAUGAACGCUGGCGGCGUGCCUAAUACAUGCAAGUCGAGCGAACAGACGAGGAGCUUGCUCCUCUGACGUUAGCGGCGGACGGGUGAGUAACACGUGGAUAACCUACCUAUAAGACUGGGAUAACUUCGGGAAACCGGAGCUAAUACCGGAUAAUAUAUUGAACCGCAUGGUUCAAUAGUGAAAGACGGUUUUGCUGUCACUUAUAGAUGGAUCCGCGCCGCAUUAGCUAGUUGGUAAGGUAACGGCUUACCAAGGCAACGAUGCGUAGCCGACCUGAGAGGGUGAUCGGCCACACUGGAACUGAGACACGGUCCAGACUCCUACGGGAGGCAGCAGUAGGGAAUCUUCCGCAAUGGGCGAAAGCCUGACGGAGCAACGCCGCGUGAGUGAUGAAGGUCUUCGGAUCGUAAAACUCUGUUAUUAGGGAAGAACAAAUGUGUAAGUAACUAUGUACGUCUUGACGGUACCUAAUCAGAAAGCCACGGCUAACUACGU
rnacentral:rRNA from 1 species